ensembl:snRNA U1 U1 spliceosomal RNA
AUACUUACCUAACAGGGAAGACAUCACCAUAAUGUUAGUGUUAUUCCCAGGUUGAGGUUCCCCCAUUACAAUUGGGGUGUGCUGACCCCUGCGAUUUUUCCAAAUUCGGGAAACUUGGGUGAAAGAUGUGGAAUUCAAUCUUUC